GUUAAUGCUGCAACAUUUCUCUACUUGCUUCUAGCUGACGAAAUUGUUGCUGCCUUAUUUCAGACAGUAGAAACAACCUGAAGUGGGGACUAAGGUCUCUCUUAUUUUAAACAGCCAUCUUCAUCUCAAUCUUUUGGUGUGUUACAUUCUGAUAUUGACGGUCUAUCAAGAGCAUGGGAAAGUUGGUUGAUGCCAUAGUUGAAGAAUAUAAUUUUAGCACCAUCUGUUGAAUCAGUUCCUGAGUGGUCCUCUUGCAUAAGAUAUGCAGUUACUGGUAAAGGAAAGUAUGGAACAAGAGUUCCUCUUUUGAGACAAAAAAUUCUGGAUUCCUUGAUGGCACUUUUACCUCCAACAGUAGCUACGACUGAUGACAAGCUCCAACAGUAGGUUCUUUAUCAGUCUCUUCUAUAACAUCUUCAAAAUGUUCAAGCUCGUCAUCAUCAAAAGACUCGUUUUGCAACGCCGUGUUCCAUAAAGGUGGUCUUGCUUUAAAGAGUUCAGAAAGAAGGAAAAGGCAUUGCACAUACGUAUUAUGGUGGCUGCUGAAGUGCAACCUGCAGUAAACGUUUAGAAAAUGCAGCUACUCGCUUUAUGUUAACAUCCCUUUUCAUGGCUCUUAGAAUAAGUGCAAUAAACAUUUCUGCCUUGGAUGUAUUCAUGACAGCUGGGAGCCGGAGUUGGCAAUUUACUCUUUGUAAUUAAAACUUAAGUGCCACCUUUGUAAAUCAUGUAUGUUUUGGACAACUAUUGAUUUGUAAUGAAUAUGACAUUGAUAUAAAUGAAAA